rnacentral:rRNA from 1 species
UACGUAGGGGGCAAGCGUUGUCCGGAUUUACUGGGCGUAAAGAGCGUGUAGGCGGCCACGCAGGUCCGUUGUGAAAACUGGAGGCUCAACCUCCAGCUGUCGACGGAAACCGUAUGGCUAGAGUCCGGAAGAGGAGAGUGGAAUUCCUGGUGUAGCGGUGAAAUGCGCAGAUAUCAGGAAGAACACCAAUGGCGAAGGCAGCUCACUAAACUGUAACUGACGCUGAGGCACGAAAGCGUGGGGAGCAAACAGG